UACGAGAGGCCCAAACGUUAAUCGGAAUUACUGGGCGUAAAGCGUGCGUAGGUGGUUUCUUAAGUCUGCUGUGAAAGCCCUGGGCUCAACCUGGGAAUGGCGGUGGAUACUGAGGAGCUAGAGUGCGGUAGAGGAGGGUGGAAUUCCCGGUGUAGCGGUGAAAUGCGUAGAGAUCGGGAGGAACAUCAGUGGCGAAGGCGGCCCUCUGGACCAGCACUGACGCUGAGGCACGAAAGCGUGGGGAGCAAACAGG
rnacentral:rRNA from 1 species